rnacentral:rRNA from 1 species
GAGUUUGAUCAUGGCUCAGGACGAACGCUGGCGGCGUGCUUAACACAUGCAAGUCGAGCGAGGUCCAUCCCGUGGCAACACGGGGGAAGACCUAGCGGCGAACGGGUGAGUAACACGUGAGCAACCUGCCCCGAAGACCGGGAUAACACCGGGAAACCGGUGCUAAUACUGGAUACCCUCACGAGGCCGCAUGGUCUGGUGAGGAAAUGGGUUUCCGCUUCGGGAGGGGCUCGCGGCCUAUCAGCUUGUUGGUGGGGUAACGGCCUACCAAGGCGACGACGGGUAGCUGGUCUGAGAGGACGGCCAGCCACACUGGGACUGAGACACGGCCCAGACUCCUCCGGGAGGCAGCAGUGGGGAAUCUUGCGCAAUGGGCGAAAGCCUGACGCAGCAACGCCGCGUGGGGGACGAAGGCCUUCGGGUUGUAAACCCCUUUCAGCAGGGACGAUGAUGACGGUACCUGCAGAAGAAGCCCCGGCCAACUACGUGCCAGCAGCCGCGGUAAUACGUAGG